rnacentral:tmRNA from 1 species
GGGGGUGUACUGGUUUUCGACGGGGGAUGAGAGGCACUGGACAGCAUGCCGAGGACUAUCGGUUGGCCUCGUUAAUCAUCCGAUAAAACAAACAAAUGCCGAAGAAAACGUUUCUUUCGCAAUGGCUGCCUAAUUAAAGGCGGCAACUCAAUCGCGAAGCGCGUCCGUACGCGGUUGAGCAGCUAGGGCGCUGGCUCGCGGGAUGAACCAUCCCGCGGGUGAGACUAGGGUUCUAGCCCCUUCCGAAGCCUGCCUGUCGGCGCCGGCGGGGGUGAGAUUAAAAGAGAGGCUAAGCAUGUAGCGGUUCGUGUUAAUUGUCUUUCGGACAGGGGUUCAACUCCCCUCACCUCCAUGU